rnacentral:tRNA from 2 species
GGGCCGAUAGCUCAAUUGGUUAGAGCUGCGAACUCAUAAUUCGUAGGUUCCAGGUUCAAGUCCUGGUCGGCCCACCA